AUGAACCAAGAUCAAAUGAGUGAACCUCAUUUCACGCAACAAGAUUGGCCAACAUUGAGCCUGACUCCAAACAACCAAAAUGAAGGUUUUGAAGAGGAGAAUGAUGAGUACGAGGAGGAUGACAAUGAAGUUGAUCUCCAUGACAACAAUGUGGGUGAUCUCGACCAAUAUCAUGUGAAAGAGAUAAUGGACCAAUCCAUCCCUUUUUCCCGUGCAUAUGCAUCGGACUCGGAUGACGAUGGUCCCGAUGAAGAAGUUGAUGAGGAGGGGUUCACACCGAAGGAGGCCCAAGCAUUCAAGAAGGUAUUCGGGCGGGAUCACAAGACACCAUUGUUCAAGGAUCUUAGUCUCGCGGAUGAAGCCGUUGUUGAUGGUGGCAAAUGCAUAUCUCUUGGAGCUAGGCCAAGUUCUCACCAUGAUUUGGAAGACGGCAAGAACGGGAUAUAUCCCGGUUGUGAGUUUCAAUCCUUCUUGGAAUUGAAGAUGUGGCUCAACAACUACUCGGUUACGCAUUAUCGUCCACAUAAAGUGGCCAACUCGGACGUCAAUGUGCGUUACACGGUCAAAUGUGAAGUGCCAAGUUGUCCAUGGAUUGUGCGUGCAAGGCCAUGGAAAGGAGGUCCCACUUGGCGCAUAGUGAGUUGUCUACCAAAUCACAUGUGCCGGCACAAGAAUGCGGAUGGCAAGCUUGUGUACCAACAACACAGACAACUCACGUCCGAGUUCAUCGCUUAUAGGCUUUCCAACCAAAUAUCCACACUUCCAACAAUGAGCAUCAAGAGUGUCAUUGACCUUGUGAAAGCCAUCUUUCAUUACAAGGUGAAGUACGGCAAGGCAUGGAAGGCAAAGCAAGCCGCAUUCAAGAUGUUGUAUGGCAAUUGGGAGGAAGCAUACAACCGACUCCCUAGGUUGUUGUUAGCUAUGGCCACUACAAACCCAGGCAUGGUUCACGUGGUUGAGCCUCAUGGGCACCAAACAUUGAUUCACAACGGGAGGACCGCCUGA
rnacentral:rRNA from 1 species